GGGAUCGUGGCGCAGUUGGCUAGCGCGUAGGUCUCAUAAAAAGGGCCAGUUUUGCCGGUUUCCUUGUUAUGACCUGAACAAGGGCAAUCCUAAGGUCGUGAGUUCGAGCCUCACCGAUCCCA
rfam:Gaeumannomyces graminis var. tritici R3-111a-1 unplaced genomic scaffold supercont2.1, whole genome shotgun sequence.